AUUGAACGCUGGCGGCAUGCCUUACACAUGCAAGUCGAACGGUAACAGGUCUUCGGACGCUGACGAGUGGCGAACGGGUGAGUAAUACAUCGGAACGUGCCCAGUCGUGGGGGAUAACUACUCGAAAGAGUAGCUAAUACCGCAUACGAUCUGAGGAUGAAAGCGGGGGACCUUCGGGCCUCGCGCGAUUGGAGCGGCCGAUGGCAGAUUAGGUAGUUGGUGGGAUAAAAGCUUACCAAGCCGACGAUCUGUAGCUGGUCUGAGAGUACGACCAGCCAGACUGGGACUAAGACACGGCCCAGACUCCUCCGGGAGGCAGCAGUGGGGAAUUUUGGACAAUGGGCGAAAGCCUGAUCCAGCAAUGCCGCGUGCAGGAUGAAGGCCUUCGGGUUGUAAACUGCUUUUGUACGGAACGAAAAAGCUCCUUCUAAUACAGGGGGCCCAUGACGGUACCGUAAGAAUAAGCACCGGCUAACUACGUGCCAGCAGCCGCUGUAAAAC
rnacentral:rRNA from 1 species